rnacentral:rRNA from 1 species
UACGUAGGUGGCAAGCGUUGCCCGGAUUUAUUGGGCGUAAAGCGAGCGCAGGCGGUUCCUUAAGUCUGAUGUGAAAGCCCACGGCUCAACCGUGGAAGGUCAUUGGAAACUGGUCAACUUGAGUGCAGAAGAGGGAAGUGGAAUUCCAUGUGUAGCGGUGAAAUGCGUAGAGAUAUGGAGGAACACCGAUGGAGAAGGCGGCUCUCUGGACUGUAACUGACACUGAGGCACGAAAGCGUGGGGAGCAAACAGGAUUAGA